rnacentral:rRNA from 1 species
AGUGAACGCUGGCGGCAGGCCUAAUACAUGCAAGUCGAACGGCAGCACAGCAGAGCUUGCUCUGUGGGUGGCGAGUGGCGGACGGGUGAGGAAUACGUGGGAAUCUGCCCAGUCGUGGGGGAUAACGUAGGGAAACUUACGCUAAUACCGCAUGCGCCCUUCGGGGGAAAGCCGGGGACCUUCGGGCCUGGCGCGAUUGGAUGAGCCCACGUCGGAUUAGCUAGUUGGCGGGUAAAGGCCCACCAAGGCGACGAUCCGUAGCUGGUCUGAGAGGAUGAUCAGCCACACUGGAACUGAGACACGGUCCAGACUCCUACGGGAGGCAGCAGUAGGGAAUAUUGGACAAUGGGCGCAAGCCUGAUCCAGCCAUGCCGCGUGAGUGAAGAAGGCCCUCGGGUUGUAAAGCUCUUUGUCCGGAAAGAAAAGCGCCGGGUUAAUACCCUGGUGUCCUGACGGUACCGGAAGAAUAAGCACCGGCUAACUUCGUGCCAGCAGCCGCGGUAAU